GGCGUCUCCUCCUCAGCAGGCCCCUGGCCGCCAUCUUCACGCACGCACGCACACGCACGCACACACGCACGCACACGUGUUUCCUCCGUGAAAUCUGCGAAUCCGUGGGAAGAAUCACGAGCCGGGCUGUAGCCAGACGCAGGGGGCCUUCUGGUUCUUUCCAGCCGGCAAACCUGCUUCAGGGUCUGUCAGGGACUUGGGCUUGGAGAUGGGAACCCAUCAAGGGUCGUCCGCAAAAGCUGAGUCCCGACGCUGGGCGCCCGGGGGCGGGCGGCGUCGCUGAUGGGCCCCAGCCCCCGGGGACCUGGGGUUAAGUUAAGCUCAUCACAGCCUCCCGUGCUAGUCAGCCCCUGCCCCGCUCCUCCUCCCCGUCUGCGUUGUGCGGGAGGGCGGUCCUCUACACCCAAGCCCUUCGCCCAUUCUGGAAUGUCUGCUCGCCUCUCUCCCAGGAACAGGGUUCCCAUGGGCGGGGUGCGUCUUCCCUGUGGAGCCCCAGCCCCCCCGCCUAGCAGGUGGACCGAGAACACGCUGGGGAGAGUUUGGGGGGAGAAACAGGCUCCCAACGUUUUUCUCCCGCCGUGGACCAUUGCUGCGUGCACACUCUGACACCUACGGCUGCAUUCUCUCACCUCGCCGGGAAGGAGGCUAGAAUGGACAUGGGUGCGUCCAAGAGGUGUUUAUUUUAAAUUAAAAGAGAUCGUCACUCAAAAAAUCCUCAGACUCUUGUGGAAUGACCCGUUCUUUCAAGCUUCGUCUCCGAAGUUAAGUGUGCAGACGGACGAGGCUCCUCCCAGGAAGGCCAACAACGUGACCGAUGCAUUCCGUGGCCUUCAUGACAGCUGCUCGGGCUCCGCAUCGUCUGUGUUACUGGCUGUGAUCUGACAGGAUCCGCACUGACUCACGCCAGGCAUGAAUGGGACAUGUUAGCCGCCCACCCUAAACCGGGAAGCAGGGAGGCCGGGAAGCAAUGCACUUGCCCGUGCGGCCCAGUCCCUGCCUCUGGAAGCAUGUGGGUAAGACAGUGGACGUCAUUCAGACCCAGGGCGAGUCCAGGGAGGAA